rnacentral:pre_miRNA from 1 species
UCUUAUGGUUGAGUAAAGAAAGUGGUUUUAUGAAAUGGAAUCUACUUUUGAUGAGGAUGCUGUGAA